rnacentral:rRNA from 1 species
GACGAACGCUGGCGGCGUGCCUAAUACAUGCAAGUUGAGCGCUAAAGGUUGGUGCUUGUAUCAACUGGAUGAGCAGCGAACGGGUGAGUAACGCGUGGGAAAUCUGCCUUACAGCGGGGGACAACAUCGGGAAAGGAAUGCUAACACCGCAUAACAACUUUAAACAAAAGGUUUAAGUUUGAAAGAUGCAAUUGCAUCACUCAAAGAUGAUCCCGCGUUGUAUUAGCUAGUGGGUGAGGUAAGGGCUCAACAAGGCGAUGAUACAUAGCCGACCUGAGUGGGGGGAGGGCCGCACUGGGCACUAGAAACGGGCCAAACUCCAGACGGAGGCAGCAGUAAGGAAUAUUCGACAAUGGACGAAAGUCUGAACGAGCAACGCCGCAUGAGGGAAGAAGGGUGUCGGAUUGUUAAACCCGGUUGUUAGAGAAGCAGGUUAGAGAAAAUGGAAGGCUCAUGAAUUGACGGUAACUACCCAGAAAGGGACGGCUAACUACGUG